AUUGAACGCUGGCGGCAGGCCUAACACAUGCAAGUCGAACGAGUGGCGGACGGGUUAGUAAUGUCUGGGAAACUUCCUGAUGGAGGGGGAUCACUACUGGAAACGGUAUCUACUACCGCAUUCCAUCAGAUGUGCCCAUAUGGGAUUAGCUUGUUGGUGGGGUAACGGCUCACCAAGGCGACGAUCCCUAGCUGGUCUGAGAGGAUGACCUGCCACACUGGAACUGAGCAACGGUCCAGACUCCUACGGGAGGAAGCAGUGGGGAAUAUUCCACAUUGGGCGAAAGCCUGAUGCAGCCAUGCCGCGUGUAUGAGGAAGGCCUUCGGGUUGUAAAGUACUUUCAGCGGGGAGGCGUUACCCGCAGAAGAAGCCACGGCUAACUCCGUGCCAGCAGCCGCGGUAAUUC
rnacentral:rRNA from 1 species